rnacentral:rRNA from 1 species
GACGAACGCUGGCGGCGUGCUUAACACAUGCAAGUCGAACGGAAAGGCCCUGCUUUUGUGGGGUGCUCGAGUGGCGAACGGGUGAGUAACACGUGAGUAACCUGCCCUUGACUUUGGGAUAACUUCAGGAAACUGGGGCUAAUACCGGAUAGGAGCUCCUGCUGCAUGGUGGGGGUUGGAAAGUUUCGGCGGUUGGGGAUGGACUCGCGGCUUAUCAGCUUGUUGGUGGGGUAGUGGCUUACCAAGGCUUUGACGGGUAGCCGGCCUGAGAGGGUGACCGGCCACAUUGGGACUGAGAUACGGCCCAGACUCCUACGGUAGGCAGCAGUGGGGAAUAUUGCACAAUGGGAGGAAGCCUGAUGCAGCAACGCCGCGUGCGGGAUGACGGCCUUCGGGUUGUAAACCGCUUUCGCCUGUGACGAAGCGUGAGUGACGGUAAUGGGUAAAGAAGCACCGGCUAACUACGUG